CCUACGGGGGGCUGCAGUGGGGAAUUUUGGACAAUGGGCGCAAGCCUGAUCCAGCCAUGCCGCGUGCGGGAAAAAGGCCUUCGGGUUGUAAACCGCUUUUGUCAGGGAAGAAACGGUUUGGGCUAAUACCUCGAACUAAUGACGGUACCUGAAGAAUAAGCACCGGCUAACUACGUGCCAGCAGCCGCGGUAAUACGUAGGGUGCAAGCGUUAAUCGGAAUUACUGGGGGUGAAUCGUCCGCAGGCGGUUGAAAUCCCCGGGCUCAACCUGGGAACUGCAGUUGUGACUGCAUGACUUGAGUACGGUAGAGGGGGAUGGAAUUCCGCGUGUAGCAGUGAAAUGCGUAGAUAUGCGGAGGAACACCGAUGGCGAAGGCAAUCCCCUGGACCUGUACUGACGCUCAGGCACGAAAGCGUGGGGAGCAAACAGGAUUAGAUACCCCUGUAGUC
rnacentral:rRNA from 1 species